CCAAACGAUUAAUAGAUAUGAUCUUUAAAAUUAAAGAAUUUGGCGGUAAUUUAGUCCUGUUAGAGGAACCUGUUUAUUAAAUCGACAAACCUCGAAAUAUCUUACUUAAAUUUGUAUACCAUCAUUAUCAGAUAAUUUUUAUAGAAUGAAUUAUUAAGUUUAUAAUAAAUUAACAAAAUUAGAUCAAGGUGCAGUUUAUGAAUAAGCUUUAAAUGGGUUACAAUAAAUUAUAAUUAAAUGGAAUAAAAUUUAUGAAGGAGGAUUUAAUUGUAUAAAAGUUUAAAAUGCUUUUAUGAUAUAGGUUCUAAAUUAUGU
rnacentral:rRNA from 1 species